rnacentral:tRNA from 1 species
CUGGUUAGCUCAGUCGGUAGAGCGCUGUACUGGAGAUGGAGAAGUCUCUGGCUCGAUACCAGGACCAG